GUGGGGCUUCGGCCCCGUCGAGAUAGAACCCUUGCCUUUUUGAGUACCUUUCGUUUCCUCGGCAGGCUCGCCUGCCAAUGGGGACCCCAUGAAAACACUUUGCAGUACCUGUAACAGUCUGAAAAACAAACAAAAAAUUAAAACUUUCAACAACGGAUCUCUUGGUUCU
rnacentral:misc_RNA from 1 species